AUCGAACGCUGGCGGCAGGCUUAACACAUGCAAGUCGAGCGGAGAUGAGGUGCUUGCACCUUAUCUUAGCGGCGGACGGGUGAGUAAUGCUUAGGAAUCUGCCUAUUAGUGGGGGACAACAUUCCGAAAGGAAUGCUAAUACCGCAUACGUCCUACGGGAGAAAGCAGGGGAUCUUCGGACCUUGCGCUAAUAGAUGAGCCCAAGUCGGAUUAGCUAGUUGGUGGGGUAAAGGCCUACCAAGGCGACGAUCUGUAGCGGGUCUGAGAGGAUGAUCCGCCACACUGGGACUGAGACACGGCCCAGACUCCUACGGGAGGCAGCAGUGGGGAAUAUUGGACAAUGGGGGGAACCCUGAUCCAGCCAUGCCGCGUGUGUGAAGAAGGCCUUAUGGUUGUAAAACACUUUAAGCGAGGAGGAGGCUACUGAGACUAAUACUCUUGGAUAGUGGACGUUACUCGCAGAAUAAGCACCGGCUAACUCUGUGCCAGCCGCCGCUGUAACAC
rnacentral:rRNA from 1 species